AUUGAACGCUGGCGGCAUGCUUUACACAUGCAAGUCGAGCGGCAGCGCGGGGGCAACCCUGGCGGCGAGCGGCGAACGGGUGAGUAAUACAUCGGAACGUACCCAGGAGUGGGGGAUAGCCCGGCGAAAGCCGGAUUAAUACCGCAUACGAUCUACGGAUGAAAGUGGGGGACCGCAAGGCCUCACGCUUUUGGAGCGGCCGAUGUCCGAUUAGCUAGUUGGUGGGGUAAAGGCCUACCAAGGCGACGAUCGGUAGCUGGUCUGAGAGGAUGAUCAGCCACACUGGGACUGAGACACGGCCCAGACUCCUACGGGAGGCAGCAGUGGGGAAUUUUGGACAAUGGGGGGAACCCUGAUCCAGCCAUGCCGCGUGCGGGAAGAAGGCCU
rnacentral:rRNA from 1 species